rnacentral:rRNA from 1 species
GAAUAUUGGACAAUGGGCGCAAGCCUGAUCCAGCCAUGCCGCGUGUGUGAAGAAGGCCUUCGGGUUGUAAAGCACUUUUGUACGGGAAGAAACCUUCCGGGUUAAUACCCGGGAGUCAUGACGGUACCGUAAGAAUAAGCACCGGCUAACUUCGUCCCAGCAGCGGCGGUAAUACGAAGGGUGCAAGCGUUACUCGUAAUUACUGGGCGUAAAGCGUGCGUAGGUGGUUUGUUAAGUCUGAUGUGAAAGCCCUGGGCUCAACCUGGGAAUGGCAUUGGAUACUGGCAGUCUAGAGUGCGGUAGAGGGUAGUGGAAUUCCCGGUGUAGCAGUGAAAUGCGUAGAUAUCGGGAGGAACAUCCGUGGCGAAGGCGACUACCUGGACCAGCACUGACACUGAGGCACGAAAGCGUGGGGAGCAAACAGG